CGCUUAGCUCCCUCCAGCCCCGGUAGAGCCCCCUCGCUUGACUAUGGCUGGGGGAAGGCGAGGGCUGGUGGCUCCCCAGAAUACCUUCCUGGAGAACAUUGUGCGGAGGUCCAACGAUACCAAUUUUGUCCUGGGUAAUGCCCAGAUAGUGGAUUGGCCUAUUGUGUACAGCAAUGAUGGAUUUUGCAAGCUCUCAGGAUACCACAGAGCAGAAGUUAUGCAAAAAAGCAGCACCUGCAGUUUUAUGUAUGGAGAGCUGACAGACAAAGACACAGUAGAUAAAGUCCGGCAAACAUUUGAGAACUACGAAAUGAACUCCUUUGAAAUCUUGAUGUAUAAGAAGAACAGGACUCCUGUUUGGUUCUUUGUGAAAAUUGCUCCAAUUCGAAAUGAACAGGACAAAGUUGUUUUGUUUCUUUGCACUUUCAGUGACAUAACAGCUUUCAAACAGCCUAUUGAGGAUGACUCAUGCAAAGGCUGGGCAAAGUUUGCUCGCUUAACUCGUGCACUCACAAGCAGUCGAGGAGUCCUUCAGCAGCUUGCUCCAAGUGUACAGAAAGGAGAGAAUGUUCAUAAACAUUCCCGGCUUGCUGAGGUCUUACAGCUGGGCUCUGAAAUCCUCCCACAGUAUAAGCAAGAGGCACCAAAGACUCCACCACAUAUCAUUUUACAUUACUGUGUUUUUAAGACAACGUGGGAUUGGGUCAUCCUGAUUUUAACCUUCUACACAGCUAUUUUGGUACCUUACAAUGUCUCAUUUAAAACCAAACAGAACAAUGUGGCCUGGCUGGUAGUGGACAGCAUUGUUGAUGUCAUUUUUCUGGUAGACAUUGUGCUUAAUUUCCAUACCACUUUUGUUGGCCCAGCUGGAGAGGUGAUCUCUGACCCAAAGCUGAUCCGCAUGAAUUACUUGAAGACCUGGUUUGUCAUUGACCUUCUGUCCUGUUUACCAUAUGAUGUGAUCAAUGCAUUUGAGAAUGUUGAUGAGGGCAUCAGUAGUCUGUUCAGCUCCCUUAAAGUAGUCAGGCUGCUUCGUCUGGGUCGUGUGGCUCGGAAACUGGACCAUUAUAUUGAGUAUGGAGCUGCUGUAUUAGUUCUGUUGGUGUGCGUCUUUGGCCUUGCAGCCCACUGGUUGGCCUGCAUUUGGUACAGUAUCGGGGAUUAUGAAGUUAUCAAUGAGGAUAAAAACACAAUAAGAAAUGAAAGUUGGCUCUACCAGUUAGGUGAGUCUAUAGGAUCGCCUUAUCAAUUGAACAUGACAACUGGAAAAUGGGAAGGAGGACCAAGCAAAGAUUCUGUUUAUAUUUCUUCAUUAUACUUUACAAUGACAAGUCUCACGAGUGUUGGAUUUGGGAACAUUGCACCAACCACAGAUGGAGAGAAGAUCUUUGCUGUUGCUAUGAUGAUGAUUGGCUCUCUGCUGUAUGCAACGAUUUUUGGUAACGUGACAACUAUCUUCCAGCAAAUGUAUGCCAACACAAACAGAUACCAUGAAAUGCUGAACAGUGUCCGAGACUUCCUGAAACUCUACCAAGUGCCCAAAGGCUUGAGUGAACGUGUGAUGGAUUAUAUCGUCUCUACCUGGUCAAUGUCCAGGGGCAUCGAUACUGAAAAGGUUUUACAGAUCUGCCCCAAGGAUAUGAGAGCAGAUAUCUGUGUUCAUCUGAAUCGGAAAGUUUUUAAAGAGCACCCUGCCUUCAGGCUAGCUAGUGAUGGGUGUUUGCGAGCUCUUGCCAUGGAAUUUCAGACUGUGCACUGUGCUCCUGGGGAUCUCAUUUACCAUGCUGGAGAGAGUGUGGACAAUCUUUGCUUUGUGGUCUCAGGAUCUUUGGAAGUCAUCCAGGAUGAUGAAGUUGUUGCAAUUUUGGGUAAAGGAGAUGUUUUUGGUGAUGUCUUCUGGAAGGAAACUACUCUAGCCCAGUCUUGUGCUAAUGUAAGGGCUUUGACUUACUGUGACCUUCAUGUGAUUAAAAGGGAUGCCUUACAGAAAGUACUGGAAUUCUACACAGCUUUUUCACAUUCUUUCUCCAGGAACCUCAUUUUGACAUACAACCUGCGGAAAAGGAUUGUCUUUCGGAAGAUCAGUGACGUCAAACGAGAAGAGGAAGAGAGGAUGAAAAGGAAGAAUGAGGCCCCCUUAGUCCUGCCACCUGACCAUCCCGUCCGUCGACUUUUUCAAAGAUUUAGGCAGCAGAAGGAGGCUCGCUUAGCUGCUGAGAGAGGCCGAGAAGACCUAGAUGUUGAGAAAGGCAGCAUUGUGGGAGACCAUCCUUCACGCACUGUGGUCAAAGCCAGCAUUGUAACAGUCAGGGAAAGCCCUGCAACGCCCAUUGCCUAUCAGUUGGCGUCAACAUCUGGAGUGUCUGACCAGGCCAAAUUACAAGCCCCUGCCUCAGACUAUGUAGCAGGGAAAGUGGCAGGGGAUUAUCCAAAGCGUAAAGGUUGGGCCAAAUUCAAAGAUGCCUGUGCGAAGGGAGAAGACUGGAACAAAGUAUCCAAAGCAGAGUCUAUGGAAACAUUACCAGAGAGAACGAAAGCUGCAGGGGAGGCCACUUUGAAGAAGACUGACUCUUGUGACAGCGGCAUCACGAAAAGUGACCUGCGCUUGGACAAUGUGGGAGAGACAAGAAGUCCUCAGGACCGCAGCCCUGUCCUAGCAGAGGUCAAACACUCAUUCUACCCUAUUCCUGAACAAACGCUUCAGGCGACGAUGCUGGAAGUGAAACAUGAACUGAAGGAGGACAUCAAAGCUUUAAACACAAAAAUGACCAAUAUAGAAAAACAGCUUGCUGAUAUACUAAGGAUAUUAGCCUCUAGAAGAAGCUCCCAGACACCACAGGAGUUGUAUGAAAUAUCAAGACCCCAGUCUCCAGAGUCAGAAAAAGACAUUUUUGGAGCAAGCUGAGGUGGUUCUUUAAAACAGAAGGAGAUCUGAAUAUCCCCACAAACACAAUCUAACACCCACUUAACAUUUUUUAAAAAACAAAACAUUUACUGUUUUCUUGACGAAUACCAUAUUUGAGGGGCCAGCCCAUUAACCAUGUCCCUCUUCUCUAAAUGAUACAAUAACGAGUGGCAACCUCAUGUCAAGAUGGCAGCUGACUCAAGUCUUUUUGACAGCAAGGCGCUGUCCCGAUUUUCCAGAGAACAUCCAGUUUAACAGCUUCGAAGGUGAUGUUCUGCUUCUACAGUACUUCACUGUAAUGAAUUGAAAGAGCUAUUUACUGUGAACAUCCUGGUGAUUUUUGUUUUAUGUUUCCUUGUUUUGACUCAGUGUAGAGUUUGGUGUGGAACCAUUGAAAAAUUGGAUUUUUAUACUAACAACAGAAUGAGUGUAUGUGAUUGUGCAGAUACAUGGCACACAUGUAUGUAUUAGUAUGAUCUGUAGUUAAUGUUACUGGAAUAUGAACAGCAUAUCCUAGACUUUAUGAUCAUGAUAUAACAAAAAGAAGUCUUCCCUUUGUGGAUGAUCUAUUCAGAACAAAGAACAUGUUUCCCAAUGGGUUGUGAAGUUAUUAUUUUCACUGUAAACUUUGAUUAGAUUGAAACUUUACAGCUAGGGUAUGACCAAAGAAAUACUGGUACAACCAGAAUUUGUGUGCAGAUGUGUUGAAUAUGUAUUAGAAAAUUUUUAGCAUUGGGAGAGACAUGGUUGCUUCCAUGUUAAUGACAUGGAAAAUGAACUCCACAUUUUGGUCCAUACUUUAAGCUGCAAGCUGAGACUUAUCUCCAAAAUAGAUUCUGUAUCUUGGAUAUCUUCUUUAAGGUUUAGGCUAAUUCUGGGGGUGGAUUUACCACCUCACUGACUUGGAAGCCACCAGAUGCCACUGUUCAGUGUAAAUAAAGAAGCAGUUCAUUUUUGGCCAUUGGAAAAGUGAGAGAUUAAAUAUCAGCACACGGUAGCUAAUACCUGGUAUGAAUCUACAAAGCAUCUUGUUUAGCAUGGCCACAUUACACGCCCAGAUGCAAGUAUGGAAGUAGGCUUUUGCAGGAACAGCUGUUGCAGAUUAUAUCUUUGUUUGCCUCAUGGUUGGAAUUUCAGGUCAAAAGGAUGCAUCUGUUCACAUGGAAGGGGAUGUUCCUCCAAGAUCAGUAGUUGGUGUAUAUAUCUAUUUGCAUGUAAUACUGGGUCACUGAUUUUAAUGUGUGUGGAAAUGUUGUCAAUUCAUAUGGCUUCUACAGCUGAAAGUGAGGAACCUCAAAGCCAGUUGUCACAGAACAUUCUAUGCUAGGUAUGUAACAGGAAGUAUAAGGUGAGAAACUGCUAAAAAGACAUACAGCUCGGCCAUAGUGCAUGACACCUGUGUGGACAAUGGCAUUGAGAGCUAGAGGGUAAUGUUGGCAAAUCAGACAAUUCUUCCCCAUCUUGCUGUUAUCCUAACUGGUUUAGAAUGACUUCUUUGCUUUUCACCUUGUCUUGGACAACCCAAAUGUACUGCAGAUUGCAACUGCAUUUCUCUACAAGGUUAACAUAGUGGCAGCAAUCCUAUAUUACUCCCAACAAGAGGCAACCCACUGAAUCAAUGGGAUUUACCUUACAUGUUGACUUAUCACUGAACAAUAGAUUCAGUGGAUCUUGUCAAAUUGGAAGUAACCAACAGGAUACAAGACCAGUGGUUCUUAUCCCCCACAAGAACACUUAAAUAGAACCAAAACUAUAUUAUAUUAAACAAGUCCAGUAGCUGCAGGAUAGAAUACUAUUCACUUCUGGAGACUUUUCACACUACACAUUGAUAGCAUUAUGAAUGUACUUAAAUAGUUAUAGUUCCAUUGUAUGGAGUCCUGGAAUUUGCAGGGAUUCUCAGCCAGAGAGUGCUGGUGCCUCUCCAAACUACAAACCCCUGGUUUCCAAUGGGAUGUUGCUAUGUCUGUUAAAGUAAAAUUCUAGUACUAUAAUUGUGUAGUCUGAAAAGGAUCCUGGUUACAGCCAUUCAAUCAUAAAAUAAUUACAUGUAAGGGUCAGAACCUGUUCAGCAUUUACUGACAUUUGUCACUGACCAUUUCUCUUAUGAGGAUUAUGUAGGAAAUUAAAUAAUGUUUCAGUCUCUUUCCUGCUCUGUGUUUGAGUAUCUGUCAAAAUGUGAAGCAUUUUUCAUGGAGAUAAUAGCUUUUUAUGUGUAUUAUAGACCAAUGGAUGCAAGAACCACUUAAGUCCUUAGUAACUUCAAGAAUGGCAUGGUCUCAUUCUUUGUCUUAGACAUCUAUGUGCUGCAUAAUGAUGGGGCAUUUUAUUUAUUUGUUGGGAUGUCUGAUUCCCAAGUUUCAUGCCUAUGUCCUGGUAGCCUAAAAUGUAGGGGCAGCCUGUGGUUAUGUUGGUAUUGUCCACUGUAUUUCUAUAGUGCAAGAGCUGGUCUGGAAACAAAAGGAAUAUUUCUCCUCUGGGGCAGUGUUCUUUCUCAUGUUCAAAGGUCACCUCAAGGUGCUUAUUAUGCUGCGCUUUCUGCGAAGCUGUUUGGGUACCGUUGCUUUCAGAUACUCUUCAGUGGCAUGUUCUCUCACCUUGGCAUAACUGCACAGUGUCUGUUGGCAAAUCCCUCAGUGGAUGCCAAGUGAAGGAAUGCAGUCUUCAGGGGCCACAGAGGCAAUAACCAAUCAUCUGCACUUCAAAAGUAAUAAUAAGCAUUUCAAAGCAAGUGAGCCUCCCUGGGAUGCUUCCAAGAAUUCUGUCCGAGUUACAUAAGAAACACUGUUAUUAGUACAGUGUCUGACUUCCUCAAGCCCCCAUAAGCCACACUGUUGUGGCAAGGAUUGAUUCCAGCUAAGUCAAAAUAAAGCUUCUUGCAAUAAGAUGUCUUAACGUUUAGCCUUAAGACCCUUCCUGUAAAUCAUAAAAUUGAAACUGUGAUGCUGUCAUGGAUUCCCUUUCUAAUGUUCUGUAUUGUGCACACCACAGUUGUUGCCUCGAGAUAUAACGCACUUUGAUUAGAUUUUUUAGCUCUAAUAGAAAUCACUCAUUAGUAUUUAAAUUUAUUCCUCCACGUAUUGCCUUCUUACUAGUUUUGCUGUAGCCUUUCCUUCUUCACCAACUGAAGACCCUCUCUCAUCAUAGACAUAGACACUUUUGUGUAUCAGGGAGUGAAAACAACCUGUUUUGUGUAUCAGUCAAAACUCCCUCCCCAUACAUACUUCUUACCCCAUGAGCAAGGCAGUAUAUCUCCCUGAUGCUGUAACCUUUUUUCAUGACUCCUGAAUGUUGUUUAAACUUAUUUGAUGUGAGGGAUCCCAUAAUGUUACCAUAAUUGGAUUUAAACAACCAGUGUUGGUGGGUUUUAUUUUGUUUUUUAAAAGGAAUGAAUUUUCAAAGGGCAAUGAUUUUACUGAUUUUUGAAUCUUCAUUUCAACAAGAGAAAGUUUCAAUAAUCUUGUAUCAGGAUGAACUGCUAUAUGAAGUAAUAUGACUUUUCAUAAUGAAUGUGGUAUAUUAUUGUACCUUCAUACACUAUAUAUUUUUUCAUUGGCUGAAACACACUGCAACCUUCAGCCACCACUGCAUGGACACUUUAUGGAUAAACAGUAAUGCAGUUGUUUGGGCACUUUACUCCACUUGUUUUCUUCCUUUCCAGAAUUCACAGAAUAUUAUCUCUCCUGAUUAUUUCUUUGCAUUUGUCACUUUGUCUUAUCAAGCAUGAAUAAAACAAAAUGAAUAAGUAGAUACUAUUUUUGUGGUCAGCUGAAAAGCUGCCAGUAGAGAGAACAUAUAUCUCUUGUUUUGGAAUGUUCCAAUAAAGUUACAGUCACUGACAUUAAUAAAUAUUCCCUUACUGACAUUUUUAAACAAGCACAAAU